CUGAAAAAUUUGUAUAAAAUGAGUUACUUCGGUUUUCGCUUUAGAAUAAGUGUAUCAGCACCUAUCAAACAGCUUUUAGAGCUGGGAAAGCCUUUUGGAAGCCUUCCUGAAACUUUCCCAGCUGUAUAUAAACUGCUGUAUAUAAACUAAAAUAACUGCUGAUAAACUUAUUCUAAAGCGAAAACUGAAGUAACUCAUGUUAUAAAAAAUUUUCAGUUUUGCCUUUCCGCCGUCGAUAUGCAAAUAUUUUACUUACAUUUUUGAAGAAAGUCUCAAAAUAAACUUUGAAGAGAUAUUUAUCUGAUUUUGGUAUUUAUGUAAGUGCUCUAUAUCAUCCUCAUGCCUAUAAUGUGUUUUAAAACAGUUUCAAUAUUUUUAUAGCUUUUAAAGAUUUUAAAGCUCUUUCUCUAUCUUCUUUUGAAAAAUAAUUUUUUGAGGAUCACAUACAUAUACAUUCAUAAUAAGAUGUUUCAUGUUCUUGUACUCUGUUCUCUUCCUGUGCCAUCCAUACAGUGCAAAUCUAAAAAAACAACAUAACAGGUGAUUACACGGGCAGUUAUACUACUUACAGCUUACUUUGUAUCUAAUCUAUUAUAUCUAGUAUUACUCUAUUAGUAUCUACCUACAUAAAACUAUCUUUGAAAUCUAAAUUUUUGAUAUCAACAUCAACCUUAAUACUUUAAAAAUAAAUAAUAUUGUGGAAGUUACACGUACCUACCUAAAAGUUUUUGAAUUGCAAUUUUAUCAACUGGAAAAGACUUCAACAUAAUGAGUUUUAAAUUAUGACAAAGCACAAUAUUUAUUGUUUCAAUUUACGUGUAAAUAAAAUAAUAAUAAUCUUAAUCACUUGUAAAAGUAAGGUUAAGAUUUUUGACUUGAGAAAACAGAACUGUCAAAUUUAAAACCAAACUGCUAUAAAAUUUUAAAAUUCCCGCUAAAAGGAAUCUGGCAACAUUGCCGUCGUUUGCUGGGAGAGAUUAAAUAUCCAGCACGCAACCGCGCUGUUGCCAGAUUUACAUAGCGGGAAUUUUAAAAUUUCUAAUGCGAAUUGGUUUAAAAUUUGACAUCCGAAUCUUAACCUUACUUUUGUGAUUAUUUAUUUACAAAUGUAAAUAAAUUAAAACAAGUAUUGUAUGUACUGUGUUAUAAUUUAAAACGCUUAAUUAUGUUAGUCCUAAAAAGAUUAAGCCCAAAAGAGAUAUACUUGUUUACAGUGCAAAUUAAUGGCAAUAGGGAUUUACGAUUUCAUUUGCAGGAAAAACAUGGGCAACCUACCCAGUUGGUAAAAUUUCAAUUCAAAAACUCUUUAGAUUUUACUGUGUGGAUGGCACAGGAAGAGAAACAAAAUAAUAUUCAGUACUGCAGUCACAGGAGUACAAAAACAUGAAGCAUCUUAUUAUGUAUGUAUGCCAUUCUCAAACAAUAAUUAUUGUACAAAACAAGAUAAAGAUAGAGACACAGCUUUAAAAUCCCGAGGAUCCUGCGAAAAGAAAAGUGAAAAUGUCUCAAUUAAUGUAGUAUAGAUAGACAUUUUUCUUUAUUUUAGUAUUAAAUAAUUAUUUAGAAUAUUAAUAGUAUUAUGUAUGUAAUGUAUUAGUUUUAAUAGUAUUAAUAUGUAUUAGUUUUAAUAGUAUUAAUAUGUAUUGUAUGAAUAAUUCCCAUCAUGUAUCUGCUAACUAAAGCAACAAAAUAAAUCAAAAUGAAAAAACAUUUCAGUGACGUAGCACCUUUACUUUACCUGGCGGCGAGGUGAGUUAUUAGGUAAAUUCUAUUUUCUUACAUAAUAUACUUAAAAAUUAAUGGUGGUAUUAUUGUGGUUUAUAUUGAAAGCUAAAGCAAUUAAAAUAAUUUUUUCUGUUAAUUAUUUAACACAUUCACAGACACGACUGCAUAUGAAGUCAUUUGCUCCAUAAGAAGACGUGGCUACAGGCAAAGCGUGUCCGUAAAUGUGUUAAUAAUAAUAAUUUUACAUCUAUUGUGUUACACAUACAUUUUACUAUUAAAGACAAUUAUGAAAAUGUCAAAAACGCCCACAAAGUGGCUUUAAGUUUUAUUACACAGUAUGUGGACUUCAAAUAGGACGAUUAUGUUAAGUAUGAGCAGAACAAAGACUAACAAUUAAUGUUUUAUUGUCAUAGGUUGUCUUUUUUCAUUAUAUUUAAUGCAGCUUUCUUUAAAAUUCAGUAAUCCAUAUAUUUCAAAUCCUUUAACUGACCAGCCAACAGAGUGAAGUCUAAAUGACAUGUUUUUUUAGUCUUAAUUGGUAGGAGACCUAAACAUGACCAAAAUAUGAUGUCAGGUUUAAUGACCAAUUUGCCAUCAAUAGGGCUUUUCAUCGAUUGUCAUUUGUUUCGAGCUCCUGUCAUGUGUCAUACAAUAUUAAUAUAUUUACGCCAUACGUCUUUGAUUUGUAUCAUUGGUAUUACCAAUAACGUAUGACGUAUAUAUAUUAAUAUUAUGUGACACAUGACAGAAGCUCAAAACAAAUGACUGUGAAUAAAAAGCCCUAUUCAUCACAUCUAACUUGAAUGACAUUAAAUUGAGCAAUUAGUGGCAACGUUUUAUUGUGGUAAUUUUGUGACGUAAGACAUCUUUAUGACAUGUAUUUACGUCAUAUUCAAUUGACAUCUGUAUUACAUCAAGUUAGUUUUUGGGUGUACACAACUAAACAACAGUUUUUUUAUUGAUAGGUUUAUUUCGUUAAAUCAAAAAAAUGAAUAUAAUUAAAAUAAGAUAAGAAUAACAAAUAUGAUUUGCUACCUACAAAUGUGUUAGGGCUAAAAAAUAUAGUAUUUUUACUACAAAAGCGAUAUUACGUAGGUUAAAAUUUUUGACGUAAGAUAACUGUCAAAACAUCAGAUUGUGACUUUUCAUUAUUGCCAUGUUUAUAAUAAAAUGACAAUAAUGAAAAGUCACAUUCUAAUGUUUUGACAGUUCUCUUACGUCAAAAAUUUUGACCUACGUAAUAUCGCUUUUGUAGUAAAAAUACUAUACAUAAAACAUGACAUUACACACUUUGACCUAAAUCUAAACUAAAAAGUUAUUAUUGUUAUAAUCGGAGUUAAAAAAUAUAGUAACAAAAUUUAUGAACAGGUUUAACCUUCCGAUGACCAACCUUUUUUUUGUUACACGGAUGACCAAGGGGGGGGGGAGGAAAUGGUCAAAAAUAACAUUUAACAAAAAAAUGAAGUUUUUUUUUUAUUUUUUUUAAAUUUUUUUUAUGGCAUGGACUUUAUGUCAUUCAGCCAGUCACAACAUGAGUAUUAGUGUCAUGUGUAGUGUGUAUGUUGAGUAAGUGCCUUGUUACUUUGCAAAGUCGACGUCAUUAGCGUAACACUACUUGGAAUUACACAUAAUAGACGCUAUUUUACUAAACAUCAACUUCAGAAUAUAUUUUUUAUUCGUAAAAUAUAGGGAAUUCUUUUUAUUUCAAAAUAUGAGGAUAUCUAGAAUGAUAUUAAAGUCAAAUAAAAAAAUAAUGAGUUAAAAAUUGAAAAUACUUUUGAAUUUAUUAAAGAAAAACAUAAGCUGGGGUCACAAUUUCCCCCGCUUGGUCAUCCGAAGGUUAAGACUGUUCAAUAAAGUAAUUCCUAGCUAUAAAAAUAGUUUUUACUUAUUAUAUUAUAUCGAUAUAUUUUU
rnacentral:lncRNA from 1 species